rnacentral:rRNA from 1 species
GACAGAGGGUGCAAACGUUGCUCGGAAUCACUGGGCGUAAAGGGCGCGUAGGCGGGAAGGAAAGUCAGUUGUGAAAUCCCCAGGCUCAACCUGGGAACUGCAUUUGAAACUCCCUUUCUUGAGUACCGGAGAGGAAAGUGGAAUUCCUGGUGUAGAGGUGAAAUUCGUAGAUAUCAGGAGGAACACCAGUGGCGAAGGCGGCUUUCUGGACGGUAACUGACGCUGAGACGCGAAAGCGUGGGGAGCAAACAGG